UCUCUCUGUCUGUCUAUUUUUUUUCUUCAUCAUUCUCAUCAGUUUUUUGACUUUUCUCAUCAUUGUUUCAUCACUUGGAUAACCAGGAUAACCUUUAAUCAAUUCAAAUUCUAUGGUCUAUCUCUUAGGCCUAACCCUUUUCAUCUGUAAUCAAAUGAUCACUUUAUAGAGAGAGAGAAGUGAUUACAUGUAUUUAUUUUUCUUCUAUUGAUUUAGAUUAUAUUUCAUCUUCUAUUCUUUUUUCUAUUCUCUCUCAGGCCUUACAUAAACAUCUAUUUAUAAUCAAUUAGAUUGAUUGUUUCUUUUUUUCCCUCUUUUGGUUACCAUUAAGCGAGGAGAAAUACAUUAUCCUUCGUACAACAGUUUCUUCAGUCUAGGUGAUCAUUUCUUUGGAAAUCAGUUAUGGAUAAAAAAAACAAAAGCCAACAGGUGAAGAUCAGGAAGAGAAAGAGAAAGAGAGAGAGAGAGAUCAUCUGUUAAACAGAUUCUGUUUAUAUAGUUUACGUAUACAGUUUGGCUUCAAGUGAAGACGAUUUCUUUUGGACAUACAUGUAUAAUUAUCAGUUAAUUAACCAAUAUCAAAGCAAAGAUAGGUGAAUGAUAAAGGAGAAAAACGAAGGAAAAAGCAAACAACUCGCCAGUUAAUUGUCCGAUUUUAACCCUGAUCAAAGAAACGGAAACUAGCCAGAAGAAAAAGAAGAAGAAGAGAAAAAAAGAUGAUUACUAAUUACUCUCUGUCAGAUUUACCAUCUACUGGUCAACAGACUGAUGCAAAAUUUUGAUGAUUUGAUGAUAAUACAAAAGUAUAACAUUAAUCGGUCUCAAAACUGUGUUCUCAAAUAAUGGCUAACAAAGUAAUCAUUUGAAUCAUUAUUAUGCAAAAUAUAUACAGCAAAAAAAAAAGAUGAAAAGAAACCUGAAGAUAAAUUCAAAGACAUGGAUAGUUAAAUAUGAAUAUACAUCAUCUUUACCUGUAUCAUGCAUGGAGAUAUACUCAUGAGAAAGAUUCCAAUUCAGUUCAAAGUUAACAAUACAAAAAAAAACACAAAACAGGUAUUUAGAAUCGGAAGAUGAAACCGGAGAUGGACAUUGGAACCAUGGAACUUGCUGAUAUGGAAUUGAAAGCUCAACCAGGAGGAAGAGAGUUGACCAUGAGGGAGGCGAAUAUGAAGAUGAAAAAUGAUGAAACUUACACGAUGACCUUUUACAAUUAAAAUUUCAUCCAAAGGUAAAACGGGAAGUUGAUAGAUGAAAAUAAAGAGACAGAAAGAGGAAGAUGAAAGAUGCAAAAUGGUGAGAAGAGAUAAAAGAGGAAAAAGUAAUAAUUCUGUUGACGAGAUGACACCUUGAUGAUAUUCAGGUGUAUAAACAAAUGACACUUUGGUACGUGUUCCAAUGGCUAAUAAGACAAGUGCAAUUUUAAGAGGAUGUUGAGGUUAAGGAUGAAAAAGAUGAAGAUGAUGAUAGAUCAACAAGAAAACAACCAAAAAGAUGGGAAAAUGGAUCAAAUUUAUUCAAAUUUAAUUGGGAUAAAGAGAAAGAUGAUUAGUAGUAGAUGAAAGAAAGAAAGAAAGAAAGAAAGAAAAAAAAUUAAUCAUAUCCUAUAGAUGAUUAACAAUUGAUGACGAUAAUGAUGAUAAUAAUUAGAGUACGUGCCAAGGUCGUCAUGCGCAGCUCGCAAAUGAUAAGCACGUACAGGAAUCAACAACAACAACAACAACAACAAGAGGGAUAAAGUAGUAAAGUGACAAAAAAAAAGUAACAUCAAGAUAACAAUGAAUUGAAAUGAAAUUAUGAAUGAAAGAAAAUAUGAAAAUACUGAUGAAUGGAUAAGGAUUAUAAUCUGUUGUCUGAAUAACAAGAAUACAGGAUAAAUCUGAAAGUGAGAAAGGGUGGAGAUGAUGAGGAGGAGGGAGGGUGAGUUGAGGAUCAGAAGGAGGUGAUAAACACAACAACAACAUGAACAACAACACUCACACAUACACACUCAGGUAAUAAUACAACAGGUAAGUUGUUGUUUGGCUAUAUGAUGGGUGGAGAUACAAUGAAACAAAAUGGGAGUAAACUAUUAAUACUAUUAUUAUGAUUAUCAAUUGAUUAGCUGGUUGAUUCAUUCAACAAUUUACUUGAUUAUAAUAAGAUUAUUGUUGAUAAAAUGAAAGGAUAAAUAGUCACACUCAUUGACACAAUCAAGAUAAAUAAUUGUGAUAUUAUCUAAUAAUUAAUAUAUAUAUUAUAUGUUGUGAAAGAAAGGAACAACAAUUAACUUUUAGAGUUUACAAUCUACUUAAUUUUGUGUUAAUUAUAUUCAAAGAAAAAUUAGUUUUUACUUUUUAGUUACAAUGAUACAAAAUUAAGUAAAUUAAAUAAAUUACUUGUAGUACAUGAAGCUAUUAAAUUUUAUUUACGAUAAUUAUGAUAACUUAAGUUUAAUGUGUUAAGUUAAUUUCUUUUCAUACCUUUGAUUGUUUAUUAUCCACAAUUAAAACCUCUGAUUAUUAAUUGUUUACCUUGUAUUACAUGUGAAUGGUGUCAAUCUUGAUAAUCAGUGUAAUCAGUAGGUUAAAAGCCUUGUAAUUAACAAUAAUAAUUACAAUCAGACAGAUAAUAAUAAUAAUAAUUUUUUAGUUAUAUGAGUUGAAAAAAUAGUUACAUUGUUUUUGAUUGUUGCUAAAUGAUUGCGGACAAUUAAAUUCAACGCAUUCAUGAACAUGCAUAUAUAUGAAUAUGUAUUCACAUUUUGUUCAGCUUAUUGUGAUAAUCAUGAUGCUAAUCAUCAUGUAAUCCUAAUCAUGAUGGUGAUUAACGUUCUGGUUGGUUCAAUAGAAUAAAAAAAAAUUCAGUUCUGAGAAAAGUUCUGGUCUAGACCUUUGAUUGUUGUUGUUAAUUGUUUUUUUUUCUGUAACAAUUAGACAUUUACUAUCUUGUUGUUGUUGUUGUUUCUUGUUGGUUAAUUGUGACAUUUUUUGUUGUAUUAUUUCAUAUGAUUUAUAUGAUCAUCUCUUGAUUGUUGCUCAUUGAGAUUGUAAUUGUUUUAAUCAGUUUGUUAAUUAGGGUUUUUCAUUGAUUUUUAUUAUUAUGGUUGAUUGUUGAUUAAUUAUUUUUCAGGUAAAAUUUAUGAUUAAUCCUUUGUUAAUUGUUACACUCCUAUGAAAAGGGAAACGUUUAUAAAUCAAAUUGUUUAAUGGUCUUUACAGGACAAUUGAGUUAAUUUGAUUGUGAGAAAUUAAUUGUCACUAGGAUGUGAACGUGAUUUGUUAUUAUUAUUGCAAAUUAAAGUUUUGUUAUUUCAUUUUCAAUUUAAUAACAAUUUAUAUUAAUUAUAUACACUAAUUAUUAAGUCUAUUAAUUGUUUGUCAUCAUUAAUGUUGAUAAAUGUUGACAAAAAAUAAAAGUACUAAGCAAAUGAUUAAAGUUAAUCGUGAUUAGGAUAAUUUAUUGAUCUUAAUUAAGGAGGAGGAUGGAAACGAGGAUUAGGAUAAUUAAUUAUUAAUUGUUGACUAUUUGCUACUAUUCAAAGUCAAUAAGCUAAUUGUUGUUGUAAUUAACUUUUUUGUUAAUCUCAAUCUGAAUGUUUGUUUACCUGGGAAACUAAAACAAUUUCAUCAAUGGAAAAAUUUAAUUCAAUUAAACUUGAAUGAAAAUGAUAAGUUAAUUAUGUUUACUAAUUGUCUUGAAUACUAAUACUUACUAUAUAUUAUAAUACUAUAACAAUAUUAACUAUUAAUAAUUAAUUAAUUAAUGACCAAGAUGAGAUUUGAUUGAUUGUGAAAAGUUUUUAAUUGGUUGAAUUUUGAUUCGGUUUGAAGAGUUGUUGACAAUCAAGAUUUACAAUCAAACAAAUUGUCUUAUAAUCUAAAAUUAUCAGUAUGUGAAGUGUCUGUUAAUUAAAAUUCAUUGUUUUAAUUUUGUUUGGCUGUUAACUAAGCGAAUUGAUUAUUAACAAUUAACUUUACGUGAAAUUUAAAAAGUUUCAACGUUUUUGUCUGUGUUCAACCAACGAAAGGAAAAUAAUAUUUGUUAUCAGAAUCAAAUUGUAAUGAUUAUAAUUGUUGUUGAUUAAUGGAUAAGGGCAGUUGAAGGAAAAAAGGUAAAAUGAGUUAGCUACACACUCGUUGACAAAUAAUUAACAAUUAAACGACAAUUUAGCCUCUAAAUUACUGAGAAAAUUGAUUUUGAUUAAAAUGUCAGAUAAUUUUCCAAGUGAUUGAUGAGGUUUGAAUUGAAAGGAAAUGAAGCAAUUUAUAAAUAAAGGUAAAAAGUGAUUAGCUUAACUAACUUUUGAUCAACAAUUUGAUAAAAUUGUCUCCUUAAUUGUUUAUGUAUAUGUUAACCUGAUCAUUGACCGAGAGAUAGUUUUACCAGACAAUUUAAAUUGUUAUAACAAUUAACAAUCAACCUGUUGGACAUUCAAGGUCUAUGCUAUGGUUUAAUCAUUAAAAGAAAACUUUUUCUGCUUUUAAUUGUUACACAUUUUCUUCAUCAUUAUCUAAUCAGAUUAAUUGUGAAUAUGAUAAGAAAGUUAGUCUUUAA